UACGAAGGGGGCUAGCGUUGCUCGGAAUUACUGGGCGUAAAGAGCUCGUAGGCGGCUUGUCGCGUCGGAUGUGAAAGCCCGGGGCUUAACCCCGGGUCUGCAUUCGAUACGGGCAGGCUAGAGUUCGGUAGGGGAGAUCGGAAUUCCUGGUGUAGCGGUGAAAUGCGCAGAUAUCAGGAGGAACACCGGUGGCGAAGGCGGAUCUCUGGGCCGAUACUGACGCUGAGGAGCGAAAGCGUGGGGAGCGAACAGG
rnacentral:rRNA from 1 species